UACGUAGGGCGCAAGCGUUGUCCGGAAUUAUUGGGCGUAAAGAGCUCGUAGGCGGCUUGUCACGUCGGUUGUGAAAGCCCGGGGCUUAACCCCGGGUCUGCAUUCGAUACGGGCAGACUAGAGUGUGGUAGGGGAGAUCGGAAUUCCUGGUGUAGCGGUGAAAUGCGCAGAUAUCAGGAGGAACACCGGUGGCGAAGGCGGAUCUCUGGGCCAUUACUGACGCUGAGGAGCGAAAGCGUGGGGAGCGAACAGG
rnacentral:rRNA from 1 species